AUGUUGUCCGCACUCUGGAAACAAAGCUUGGACGCCUUGCAUAUACUCAAGUCACAGCAUCAACUCCUCUCCCUGCAAUCGAGUCUUCAGAAGGAAUUACCAGGACCGCUUCUUUGCCGUCAGGUUGUCCGUUCGUCUACAGCCAUAUCAGCAUCAGGACUGAGUAUGCUAGCUGGAACUACAUCAAUACCUAAAAGGGGUGAUUUGACACGCCGCCUGAAAAGUAUCUUGGUGUAUUCGACGGCGGUUUUUGAAAUCCUAUUGAGAAUAUUUUUCAAGGAACUCGAGGCGAAUGUCUUGGUUUCGAAGAAGCAGAAAGUGAAACAUCUGGACGAGAAGAAAAAGAAGUGCAAGGCUGGUAAGGUCGAGACUCAUCUUGAAUUCCCUGGACGUAAAAAGAUUUGGUCGGAUUCAUAUGAAGGGUUGACUGAACUUUUGAAGGAAGCCCCAUAUACUUCAGUGCUUGCGGACUUCGCCGUGAAGCCCGGUGGCCACGUCGCACAGAUGAUCGUCCAGGUGAUUUCGACGCCGGAAGUCGCUGAUGUGGAGGACCUCGACGCCACCGUCCGCGAGAGGGAGGAUUCGUGUCCAGCGGCGUCUGAACUCCUAGCCUUGUAG
rnacentral:rRNA from 1 species